UGAGUCAUUCGUUGGCCGUUGCUAUAAUAGACCGAGCCGAUGUGAUGCGUAUCGCAGCAGCAGCGAUGAUCUAAUCAGUCUGCAAUUGGCUUUGAAAAAAAAGGAGGAGAAAAACGAACAAAGCGGAAUCAGUCAAUAAGGAACUUUUGGUGAGUGAAGAAAGAUAGAGGGUAGCUUAGUAGUGUGCGUCCCAGCAGUAAUAGCGAUAUAUAGUAUACACGGACGGACGGACGGACGCUCUCAUCCUUGCGCGCGCGCAAUCUCUCUUCAUCAAGACGCGCCCGCGAUGGUAUAGAUGAUGAUCUAUAUCGGGUGGAGAGGGGUGUAGUAGUAGCCGGCCCCGAACACUGGCGCGCUCUGACGGGUCUGUACCGCAAUCCCGAGCCACCGAGAAAUACGCCACAGUGCACAUGCGUAACAUGUCGGUAGCUUAUUUUCCCCUCCAGACUCCCGUCUGAAGGAGAGAUUUUCAGAGGGAGGGAGAUGGCGUAGGGAUUCGUUCGUGUUGAGUAAGGAGAGGGAGGAGGCGGUGUACACGACGGGGUGGCGGUGGUAUAGUCAUGUAUAGUGUAUAGCUAGAGGGGAGGGGAUAAAGGCCAAAAGUGAACGAACGACGUUAUAUUCCGGCGACGCCGACGUCUGCCGCUAGAACUGUGCCGAUCCGCGCUAGCGGAUGAACGCGGGAUUACGACCGCCGCGUCCAAUAAACAACAAGAGGCAAAACUGGCGUGACACACACAAGCGUCGCUGCCUCUGCCGCCCGUCGCCGCCAACAUUUUGAGAAUUUUUUUCCCCAGUUGUGUGUCUCGUGUUUGUGUGCCCGUCAGUUUUUGUGCGCCCAUCGUCUCUCGUCGUCGCCGGAUGAGAUCCAACGUGACGCCGAGUGGCCAUUCAUCAUCAUCUGGAACAUUCAUCACUCGGCAGAGGACAAGACAAAAAUAACAAUAAUAUUAAUACUUAAGCGGUCCCUGGCGACCGGCGUCGCCAAAAAAGUUUCGGCAACCCAGUGCUUUUGAAUCCUCUAAAAACGUUGGCAAAUUCAAUCAUUCAUUCAUGCCGGGAAUUAUCGUCUUCCAGCGGAGAUGGGGCGUCGGCAGCGACGAUCUGGUUGUUCCCGGAAUCUCAUUGACUUUACUCCACGCCAUUUGGUUGAUUGUGGUUGCGGUCACGCUGGGACUUGACAACGGAUCCGUCGGUCAUGUUCGCAACACUGGGAACAUUAGCAGCAGCAGCAGCGAAACAAGCGACACUAUCGGCGUCCGGUUCAGCAACGAGUCGUUUCUACUGUCGCUGGCCAACCAGAGCAAUGCUGAGGACGACGCUUGGUCCUCUUCCGCCAGCGGUGACGGCGGCCAUGGUGGUGACGAUGAGGAAGUGGUCGUUGUCGCUGAGCUGCACGCACUGCAAGAAGAUCACGCCUGCGAAAGUGUUCUACGACUCUUGCUCAUCAUCAAAACGGCCCUUUUGGGCGUUUCGCUCCUGCUGGAAAUUUUCAUGGCCCGACUAGCGUUACGCGGAACCAUGUGGGACGUCCAUCCACGCCGCUUUAUGGAGUACGUGCUCUACAGUCGAUUACUGGUUUUAGUGGCCGAAAUGGUUUGGUCGUCGUUUAGCAUCGUGUGGCUCCACGGCUCUUACAUCACGUGUCCGGCAGGAAUGGAAAAAGAAGUUCUCUUAGGUUCGGUUAUUUGCGAUUUGUGCGUGGCGUUGAGCGUGCUCAUCACCAUUUGGUGCACGUUUGACCGGGCCGGACGCUCUUGGGUCAAGAUGACGCGCUUCCAGCGGAGCAUGAAAGAAGGCGAGACGAAAUACCACUACAAACGAUCGGGAAAUCACAGACCCAACUGGAGACAGAGGAAAGUGAUGAGGACUUACCAGGACACGUGGAAUCAUCGAUGCAAGAUCCUCUUCUGCUGCAUGGGUCGUUCUGAUCAAUACCAGGACUCCUUUUCGGAAAUCGCCCGACUGCUGACGGAUUUCUUCCGGGACCUGGAUCUCGUGCCGACUGACAUUGUAGCCGGUCUGGUUUUACUCAGGAAACAACAGAAGAAGUUACAAGAGACACUCGUUACCCAGGACCAGAACGACAUUUACGAGUUCUUGUCGGGAGUGGCCGUCACUUCACGGACACGCUUCCUUUCCUUGCACGAACCCGACCAACUGGAAGCUUUCCAAUUGACGGAACAUUAUAUGAAAUUCGCCCUGGCUGCUUAUGGCUGGCCCAUGUACCUGCUAGGCCAUUCCAAGACGGGAUUGUGCCGCCUGGUAUCUAACAUUAGGUGUUGCUGCUGUUGUGGAAGUGGUUCGACAGGCUCGUCGGAGAGUGGCGAAACUCUACCCGUCAUUGUGGGAGACACGUGCAGUGGUUGUCACCUGGCAGCGCUGAAACAAUCCAUCGGCCGCGUUGAUCACGAAGUCAUUUUCGCUUCCUUCCACGUCGACGUAGCGGAAACGCCUUUUUUCGUCGCCAUUGACUACGACCACCAGAGCGUCGUGGUCAGCAUUCGAGGCACCAUCAGCAUGAAGGACGUGAUAACGGAUCUUCACGCCGAAGCGGAACCCAUUCCUCUCCAGUUAACACGAGAAGACUGGUUUGGACACAAGGGUAUGGUGCAAACCGCCACAUACAUUCGCAACAAGUUGGAGAAGGAGAAUUUGCUAGGAAAAGCGUUUGCUCACAAUCCGGAAAGAGGCACGCCGGAUUUUCGUCUGGUUCUAGUCGGUCACUCUUUAGGCGCUGGAACGGCAGCUAUUUUGGCUUUGCUACUCCGCCACGAGUAUCCCCAUGUUCACUGCUACGCCUAUUCACCACCCGGCGGACUAUUAAGUUUACCGGCAGCUGAAUUCACAAAAGAGUUUGUGACAUCCAUCGUCGUUGGCAAAGAUGUCGUCCCUCGGCUGGGUCUCCAUCAGCUGGAAACUUUGAGGUCCAGUCUGAUGACGGCAAUCAACAAGAGCACGAAUCCGAAAUGGAAAAUUCUGGGUUCCAGCAUGCUGUGCUGCGGACGGCGGAAUAAAGAUGCCUCUGUCAAAAUUUCCAACAGUCCAGUCGUUUCGAUCGAAGAAGGAGGCGGCGGCGGUUCAAAAGACGUGCCUUCCACAACAGCCGUCCUAACGAAACAUCCAUCCGAUACUAAUAUCUCCCUGUCGACUCAUCAGCCACUGUAUCCGCCCGGCCGCAUCAUUCACAUCGUUAGGCAACAUCCAAAAGCAUCCGACAGAUCGGAACGAAGCUCCGGUUGUCCAGCGACGACCAAAGAUGACCAGCCGGAUCCUAUUUACCAGGCUUUGUGGGCCGACACUAUCGAUUUCAACGAGGUACUCAUCUCUCCCGUCAUGGUCCACGAUCACAUGCCCGACACCGUCCUCAGCGCCAUCAACAAGGUGCUGAGGCACGAGAAGCAGCUGGCCGAGUAUCAGAGGCAAAUCGUCUCCUCCCGCGUGCCUUGUUCAACCACCAACGUGUAGAGCGAGAUGGCGGCCAGAAUCCGUAGUAGGUCCCACUCCCACCUUCCAACAACCAUGCACCGCCCGUCCGUCUUUCACGUAGAGGACAAUGCCGUCUUUCAGUUUCUCGAUUCCUACCUCUUUUAUUUGGGAUUGUUUUCAUUUCGGCGGAUGGCCACUUGUUAUGAUGUCCGAGCUUCACUCUUCCGUCCUUAAUGCUUCGACAAGUGAAGAGUUCAUCCUGCCCAUCCCAUCCCAGGUUCUCUCGUGUCAUGGGCCGUCCAAACCUCAACGAGUCACGUCGGAACCUCUAUUGAAGGAUGACCAAGCCGAUUACCAACCGGGCCUGAUCGUCGACGGUUCUCUUCUGACGGCAGCCAGCUUUACUCCGUCGCCAGUGAUGAUGCCGCAGCAUUCCUUUUUGGAAAACAAUAGCUUGACGUCGAUCGACCGGAGUCCCACCAUUGGCCAGCGAUCGCCCGACGCCAAAGAAACGCCUUACUCCAGUAGCGUUCCUGCCAAUUCUUGCUACAUGUUGCAACCGCCUUCGUGGAUGAAUCCGCAAGUCCGGCGAGCCACAACUAGUAACUUACCGGCCAUGUCAGCAGCCGGCUGGAACUUUAAUCCUCUUCAACACUAUCCAGUCGAUGGCGAGGACCUGGUUUCAGAGUACAGUAAUCGAUUAGUGGCGCCAAUCGCCACUCCCGAGACACUCUCCGGAGAAUCCGCCAACGGGUCCGUCUCCAGUCUUGCCAAGAGGGCGCACAAAUUCCUGAGGAGAGAUAGAGCUGCAUCUGUUACCAAGAGAAAGGAUUUACCAAAACAGUACAGUGGAAGUAGUUCAAGUGUGUACGAAAUGACCGAGUCAAGCAGCGUCUAUUGUGCAUCUCCGUUGAGCAGCGCCAAAACGACCAGUGGACAGACGCGGGCCACAAGGGCGCAGUUGAAGCGAGAAAUUAUGCGACUCUACCAGAGAGCCGCUGCCGAUGUGGAUAAGAUUGAGCAAACGCCGUCAGCCGAGCAGGAUCCCAGUUCAACUAGCAGCCACACAUCACGGACGACAAGUAGUUCAAGUCAAUCACAGCCGUCGCGAUUGUUUCCCGUUUUGGAACCAGCGUCGCCGGUCUUUGGCGGUGGAAACGGAAGCAAUUCUGACAGUCACAGCGGCUACGCUUUGAGCCCUGUCGCGUCACGCCCAGCGACCGCUAAUGGUGCUACCGAUCGAAGGCUGUCACCUUCGAGUAGACCCAAUUUGCCUCCAUGUAACACGUCAUUUUAAAGGCGAAAAACAUUCAUUUAGCUCUAAAUAAAUAAAUAAAGAUCAAAGCCAGAUAUGGUUGAAAGCUCCCAGAUCUCAAAUCGAGGAAAAUAAAUCAGCUUUUUCCGACAGGAGUAAAAAGAAAACAAAAACAAAAUUAGGUUGAACGAAGAGCUCCUCUAACACCGAUUGAAUAACGCUAUCGGAGAUGUGUUUACACAAUCCUUAAGGACGAGAAAUGCCUGGAAAUAAUAAAUAAGAGAGGAAAGACGGGGAAAUCGAGCUUGGAAUGAAAUGGAUUGCUACGAGAUUGCAGAAGCAUGACACUUCCAAUCUCUUUUGCCCAACGUCGCGAGAAGAUUGAGUUUCGAUCGGAUUGCAAGGAUCUGCAGCACGUCACCAAGACAAGGCCAGCUGGAAUAAGAUCAGUAGAACUGCAGAUCCCAGGAGCUAACAUUGACACAUUCCCUGUUACCCCUUUUUUUUUCCUUCUAGCAUCUUUUCCGCUUUUUUUUGCUACUCUACCUAGUCGAGGAGGUCCUGUUGGAUGGAUGGAAGUUGGAUGAAGGGAAGAUACUCCCAAGGUUCCAAUUGUUUCUCGACAGCUGUAUCGAUGAUUGUGUUCAUCUAAUCGUUUUGUCAUCGACCGUUUUUCAGUUGGCGUUGAUCUUGUCUCCCUCCGUUUACUUGUUACACGUCACAAAGUUUUACCGUUCCAGUAUGACGCCAAUCCUCUUCCUUCGUCCUUUUCGACUGCCUGUUCAGAACAACUGCCCUGCUGUGAACAAUUGAUUGAAUCAUCGUUUACGGUUAGCUUUUCUUGUGUUUACAUCUGUAAGAUUUCUGUUCCAAUUGUUUCCUGUAUUGCACAGACAUGUAGACACAAUGUAUACAUCCAUCACAGACACAGACACACCCACAAUACACGGUAACAGCUAGUGUUUUUUUUUUCUCUCUCUCUCUUUUAAUAAUUCUAAACGAUUAGGCCUAUUUUGUCUAAUACUAUAAUAUUUUUGUAUACAGAUUUUUGCAAUUCUUUUACCGACGCGUAUAAAUUUAUAUGAUAUAUAUGAGAGAUGAGAGAGGACAUUUGGAGCUAGGGACUCAAUGGAAUAUCUAUGUUGGAAAUUCUGCUUAUUUUCGGAAUGCUUAUACUUUGUUGCGUUUCUACAGACUUGGUCUCUUUCUUUGAAUAAUUCGUGUAACGUGCUGUAGAUUUGUGUGUGUGCUAAUAAAUCAUCCGCGACAGGAGAUUACCUUA
rnacentral:misc_RNA from 1 species